UUCCUGAUAGCUCAGUUGGUAAAGAAUCUGCUUUCAGUGCAGGAGACCCUGGUUCGAUUCUUGGUCAGGAAG
rnacentral:tRNA from 1 species